rnacentral:tRNA from 1 species
GAUUGUAGCUUAGUGGUAGAGCAUUUACCUAGCCAAGUGUGAGGCACUGGGUUCGAUUCUCAGCACAACA